UACCUACGGGAGGCAGCAGUCGGGAAUAUUGCGCAAUGGAGGAAACUCUGACGCAGUGACGCCGCGUAUAGGAAGAAGUUUUUCGGAAUGUAAACUAUUGUCGUUAGGGAAGAGAAAGGACAGUACCUAAGGAGGAAGCUCCGGCUAACUACGUGCCAGCAGCCGCGGCAAUACGUAGGGAGCGAGCGUUAUCCGGAAUUAUUGGGUGUAAAGGGUGCGUAGACGGGAAAACAAGUUAGUUGUGAAAUCCAUCGGCUUAACUGAGGUACUGCAACUAAUAGUAUUUUUCUUGAGUGCAGGAGAGG
rnacentral:rRNA from 1 species